rnacentral:rRNA from 1 species
UGCCAGACUCCUACGGGAGGCAGCAGUGGGGAAUAUUGCACAAUGGGGGAAACCCUGAUGCAGCGACGCCGCGUGAGCGAUGAAGUAUUUCGGUAUGUAAAGCUCUAUCAGCAGGGAAGAAGAUGACGGUACCUGACUAAGAAGCCCCGGCUAACUACGUGCCAGCAGCCGCGGUAAUACGUAGGGGGCAAGCGUUAUCCGGAUUUACUGGGUGUAAAGGGAGCGUAGACGGCGAUGCAAGCCAGAUGUGAAAGCCCGGGGCUCAACCCCGGGACUGCAUUUGGAACUGUGUGGCUGGAGUGUCGGAGAGGCAGGCGGAAUUCCUAGUGUAGCGGUGAAAUGCGUAGAUAUUAGGAGGAACACCAGUGGCGAAGGCGGCCUGCUGGACGAUGACUGACGUUGAGGCUCGAAAGCGUGGGGAGCAAACAGGAUUAGAUACCCCGGUACUA